UACGUAGGGGGCAAGCGUUGUCCGGAAUCAUUGGGCGUAAAGAGCGUGUAGGCGGCUUGGUAAGUCCGCUGUGAAAGUCCAGGGCUCAACCCUGGAAUGCCGGUGGAAACUGUCAAGCUUGAGUCCGGAAGAGGCGAGUGGAAUUCCUGGUGUAGCGGUGAAAUGCGCAGAUAUCAGGAGGAAUACCAAUGGCGAAGGCAGCUCGCUGGGACGGUACUGACGCUGAGACGCGAAAGCGUGGGGAGCAAACAGG
rnacentral:rRNA from 1 species